UACGUAGGGGGCAAGCGUUGUCCGGAAUCAUUGGGCGUAAAGAGCGCGUAGGCGGUCCGGUAAGUCGGUUGUGAAAACUGGAGGCUCAACCUUCAGAGGUCGACCGAAACCAUCUGGCUAGAGUCCGGGAGAGGAGAGUGGAAUUCCCGGUGUAGCGGUGAAAUGCGCAGAUAUCAGGAGGAACACCAAUUGCGAAGGCAGCUCGCUGGGACGUGACUGACGCUGAGACGCGAAAGCGUGGGGAGCGAACAGG
rnacentral:rRNA from 1 species